UUUCACAUACCUGUUUGUCAGCACCAGAAGACACCAGAACCCUCCACACCACCCUCUCAAGGCUCGGCACUCUAGGCUCUUUCCUCUCUCUCCCCUGUGGCUGUGGCUCACGUAGUUCCUUGACCCAGGCUCUCACUUCCUGUGGAUUUUCCUCCCCUGGGUGUGACCCAUCCCUCUUACAUUGUCCUAGUGCCUGCUAACAGGAGCAAACGGGACAUGACGGCUGCCCGGUGAGCCUGUGGCCUGCGGGUCUUGGACAGUCACGGCAGAGAGGCAGCUCGGAUGAUAAAGACCUCAGAUGUAACCUAGGAGGCCCACCGGAGGCACAUGGAGACAUACAGCUGUGGCCAGAAACCAAGAUCUGGGUCCUGAAGCCGCCACUUGACACUGGGUGAACUUUGUUUCCCUCAUGUGCAAGCCUUAGCCACCUUUGGCAAUUUUGUUCUGGAAGGAAAGGGAAGCAGAGUGGGAAAGUAUCCAGGGGACCCAGGGCAUGCUGGGCUCUGCACAGCUUUGCCACACCCAGGGGAAAUCGCCCGUGGAUAGAGUCUGGCCACCCACUGCUUCAGCUGAGCCCUGCCACGGGUGUGCGUGACUUACAAGGCCAGGGAAGGAAGAUACCCAUCGUUCAUAAACUUCGAACACGGGCCAAGGCGGUGCUUGAGCUGGGAAGAGAGAGACAGGACGCAGCCCAGCCAUCCGCACCCCUCCCGGGAGCCCUCCCCUGGCCUCAGUGCCUCUCACUGGCUUCCAUGGUCACUUUCCUCGCUUAACUGUCUUGUGUUUCUUCCGUCUGUCUUCCGUCACAUGCACCCAAGCAGGAGGGUGGCAUCGCCCUCUUCUGCCUCCAUUCUAGUCUUAGGCUGUGCCGAGGCACCUGGGCAGCUGACUCACAGCCAGAAAGGGCAGCCAUGGAUACUGGAUCCCAAUGAUGAUGCCAAGCCCCUGCCUGGGUGAGGCUUAGCAGAGCUGGCACUGAGGGGGGAGCACUUUCAGGGAGAGGGACGAGCCAAAGGCGUGGGGGACAGGCACAGCCCAGGCUAGAAAGGUCAGUGAGAGGCCAAGCAUGGGGAGAUGGGGUCAGACCCCCAGAGCAGGUCUGGAAUCUGAACUGGCGCCUGGGCCUGAGACGGAGGCUCCUUCCCGUCACAUUCGGACACCAACCUGUCCCCGCUUGUCAGCGCCUCCGGGCACACUGCAGCACUUGAAUUUAGCUGCACUGGUUGACGGAGUCUCUAGGGGUUGUCCACUGCCGGGAUGCCCUGGAUAACCAGCCACUCUGCAGGCUACAGGGCACCCUGGACCUCAGCUGUGUUCCCACACACUUCGGAUGAGUGGUCAGAAUGGACCCAGAGGUGAGAAACUGAGGAGCACAUGGAUAGGCCUGACAGAGACUCAGAGUCCUCCCCGCCGCCUCCUUUGCCAGGCUCCUCCCAGUGCUGGCGGGAAGCCUGGUGCUGGCCUCCCACAUGCUCAAAUAUUCCAACACUGCUGAACGUCCCUGUAAGCUGGCCCUGGCUGCGGUGUUGCUGGAUCCCUAAUCUUCCGGGGUUAAGCUGCUGCAAUGCUGCAGGUGUUGGAGAUGUCUUUGGCAGUCACCACAGAUCACUGCCACCCAUCCGGGAUCCUCUUGCCGCCACUUCCAGAUUUCCAAUGUGGUAUUCUGUGGCCUGGUGACCCGUGGUGCUUUAGGCUUCCACAGCUCCCCCUUCGCUCCUCUGCUGGGGACUCCAACUGAGGCACUUUCCAUCCUCCCCACACUGGGAACAUUCUCAGUGCUCACAACAUUUUUUUAUUAACCCAAGGGAGGGGGUGCUUAUGGCACAUGAUGGGUAGAGGCCAGGAUGCUGCCGGGUGUGCAAGAACCCCCAACCAUGGGGAAUUCUCUGCCCCGAUGUCAAGCACGGCACCCAGGAGCGAGCCUGCUUCCAGUCCUGCUGGUUUUGUGGCUCAUUCCUGCAGUGGCUCCCUUGUUUGCCCACAGCUGGAUAAACGAUAAAGAUUGAGGAAGCAGCUCCUAGCUACACUUCCGCCUUCAGUCACCAGCUCACCUGUGAGGAAGGCAGCCCAGAGAGGGAGGGGACCUCAGUUCUCAGAGAGCUGCAGGUCUCAGCUUCAAGAGAGAUGCCAAGGACCAAUGACUCGACUCAAGCGCCCUCUGGAGAUGGCUUGUGGGUUUCUCUAGAGCAGUGGUUCUCACCUUCCUAGCACUGCGGCCCUUUCGUUCAGUUCCUCAUAUUGUGGUGACCCCCAACCGUAGAAUUACUUCACUUUUAAUUCAUAAAUGUAAUGUUGCUACCGUUCGAAGUUGUAAUGUGAGUAUCUGAUACGCAGCAUAUCUGAUAGAGAACCACUGCUUUGGAGGAAACCCCCAGCCCAGAGCCAGGCCUGUGACAUGGUGAGGACAAGUCACUCUGGGCCUCCCUCCCGUUACUCAUUCCACAGCCUGGCAGCAGGCCAGGAAAGGCGUCCCCAAAUGGGAGUUCCCAACCCAUGUGCCAUCAUCAUUUCCAUUAACCGUGGGGAGGGUGGAAGCAUGCACUCCGCCCAACCCCUCCUCGUCAACAAAAGGCCUCCAGGCUCUUGUGCCAAAGACCCCACCCCACCCCAGUUCAUUCCAGUCUUUCUCUCUCCUGCUGAGGGAAGGCCCUGCAGAGAGGAGGGAAACGAGGCUGCAGGGCUUUCCUCACCUGGAGUCUGUCUGGUCUCAGGAAGCCUGCAAAGCCCCUUCCUUCCUCAGUUGUCCUGGAAUAAUGGGGCAUAUCUAUCUGCUCCAGGGCUUUCCUCACCUGGAGUCUGUCUGGUCACGGGAAGCCUGCAAAGCCCCUUCCUUCCUCAGUUGUCCUGGAAUAAUGGGACAUAUCUAUCUGCUCCAGGGCUUUCCUCACCUGGAGUCUGUCUGGUCACGGGGAAGCCUGUAAAGCCCCUCAGUUGUCCUGGAAUAAUGGGGCAUAUCUGCUCCAGGUUUCCUUUACCUUGUUGCCUGCAGCCCUGCCCCUCUUAGGCCGUCCCCACGGUCACAGGUGUAGGAUUGUUUUCUCCUGGUACCCAGGCACAGUGGCUGCUUUCCCAUCCUCCUCCGCCCCAGGCCUCUUGCCAUCAGGCAGCCCAACCCCCCUUCUCCAGUUCAUUGCCUCCUUCCUACACCCUCAGAAGGGAGAGGUGGAGAGAGGAGCCCUUGCUUCUCCCGGGUCCCUGCUCUUCAGCAACAACCCCCUCCCUUCAUCCCCUUCUGUAGGACCCGGAGGGAUGGAAGGGAACUCAGCUGAGACAACACCAUGUAGGAGAAACACCUGAGUGAAGGUUGGCCUGACGGGGACUACCGCCAGUUUUCCACUGAUCUUCAGAGGGAUGGAGGAACCCCCAGAGACUCUGGUCUCAGGAACACCUCAGUCAGGCGUCUCAAGAUGCUGUAUUGUGUGGGGAAAGGAAAAGGAUUCAGAUGUCCUCACAGUUCCCAUUUCACAGACGGGUAGUUGGAAACUGCUGACUGACAUUCCCAGAGUAUUGGAGGCAAGCACCAGAGCCCUAGCCGUGUGGCACAGGAGCCCAGUCUGUGUGGCACUAAUGGGUCUCUGGUUUGGGAAGAAAGCAGCAGGAAUCACGACUCCAAUGUGCUGGAGCAGGGGAACCUCCAGCUCUCCCCUGUACUACCUUCUUGGUCACAACCCUCUCUGACGCCAUGGCCACCAUGCUAAGUGCUAAGGCUGGCCCCGUCCAGGCAUGAGAGAUGGACAGUGCAACCUCAUCCGAGCAUCCUCCCCUCAGGCCCCCUGCCCCCAGAGAUUUUAUUAAACCUUUACCAUGCCUCA